CCUACGGGUGGCUGCAGUCGAGGAUCUUCGGCAAUGGGCGCAAGCCUGACCGAGCGACGCCGCGUGUGCGAUGAAGGCCUUCGGGUUGUAAAGCACUGUCGAGGGGGAGGAAAGCCGCAAGGUCUGACCUAUCCCUGGAGGAAGCACGGGCUAAGUUCGUGCCAGCAGCCGCGGUAAGACGAACCGUGCGAACGUUGUUCGGAAUCACUGGGCUUAAAGGGCGCGUAGGCGGUUGAUCAAGUCUGGGGUGAAAUCUUUCGGCUUAACCGGAAAAGUGCCUUGGAUACUGGUCAGCUGGAGGGAGGUAGGGGCAGUUGGAACUUCCAGUGGAGCGGUGAAAUGCGUUGAUAUUGGAAGGAACGCCGGUGGCGAAAGCGAGCUGCUGGACCUCUUCUGACGCUGAUGCGCGAAAGCUAGGGGAGCAAACGGGAUUAGAUACCCGUGUAGUC
rnacentral:rRNA from 1 species